GAUUUUCUAUCUAUUGUUGCUUCAGUUUUGGUAACUUGUUUCCAAGUAUUUUCACCUUAAUUUCUUAUUUAGUAUUAUGUUAACACAUAAAGCAAUGUUUUUCAGAUAACUGUUCCCAGGAAAAGAAGGAGGAAGUCCUAGAAAGUGAGAAACCCAGUGGACCCAAUGCCAAGCAAGGAAAACCAGACAUGCAAAGUCAAGAGCACACCAGCACCAGCCCCGGGCUCACUGAGCCUGCCAAGAUCCCGACCCUUUUCCAGGGCCGUAGACAAAGGCAGAUAAUCUACAGGGUAACUUCCCAACAAGAUAGUUCUGUGUUGCAAGUCAUCAGUGGGCCAGAAACAUGUGUGCAAGAUGAGAUGUCUGUGGAUGCGAUGCAUGUCUUUAUUGAUGAACAUGCCUUUUAGAAGCAGAAAAAAUUUUCGGAUUUCGUUCAGUUAGCAAAAACAUGUACGAAGGUGGAACAUACCAGUUAUAAGCACCCUGCUUCCAUCCAUUCCUGCUGCCACGAUUUCUCCUGCCUCAGUGUUAGUUUUAAUUUCUGUCAGAAUUUCCAGGGCCGAAAGCCACAGCAUCUGCGUCAUCAUGUGAACUUCCUGAUUUUCUGGGUGUUAUUGUUACCUUUUAGGUUGGUUUUAUUAUCCUGAAGGAGCUGAUGAAUGUGAAGUACUUUGAAAACUGAGAUGUGUCCUGUAAAUGUCAAGUAUUGUUUUGUGGUUGCUACUUACAGGAGUAUUUGAAGUCUUCCUAAUCUUUUCUCAAGUCACGUGAUAGAGUUGAGGGUUCAGUGAGGGAAAUCCUCC